CUUGAUGAACGCUAGCUACAGGCUUAACACAUGCAAGUCGAGGGGCAGCAUGGUCUUAGCUUGCUAAGGCCGAUGGCGACCGGCGCACGGGUGAGUAACACGUAUCCAACCUGCCGUCUACUCUUGGACAGCCUUCUGAAAGGAAGAUUAAUACAAGAUGGCAUCAUGAGUCCGCAUGUUCACAUGAUUAAAGGUAUUCCGGUAGACGAUGGGGAUGCGUUCCAUUAGAUAGUAGGCGGGGUAACGGCCCACCUAGUCUUCGAUGGAUAGGGGUUCUGAGAGGAAGGUCCCCCACAUUGGAACUGAGACACGGUCCAAACUCCUACGGGAGGCAGCAGUGAGGAAUAUUGGUCAAUGGGCGAGAGCCUGAACCAGCCAAGUAGCGUGAAGGAUGACUGCCCUAUGGGUUGUAAACUUCUUUUAUAAAGGAAUAAAGUCGGGUAUGGAUACCCGUUUGCAUGUACUUUAUGAAUAAGGAUCGGCUAACUCCGUGCCAGCAGCCGCGGUAAUACGGAGGAUCCGAGCGUUAUCCGGAUUUAUUGGGUUUAAAGGGAGCGUAGAUGGAUGUUUAAGUCAGUUGUGAAAGUUUGCGGCUCAACCGUAAAAUUGCAGUUGAUACUGGAUAUCUUGAGUGCAGUUGAGGCAGGCGGAAUUCGUGGUGUAGCGGUGAAAUGCUUAGAUAUCACGAAGAACUCCGAUUGCGAAGGCAGCCUGCUAAGCUGCAACUGACAUUGAGGCUCGAAAGUGUGGGUAUCAAACAGGAUUAGAUACCCUGGUAGUCCACACGGUAAACGAUGAAUACUCGCUGUUUGCGAUAUACUGCAAGCGGCCAAGCGAAAGCGUUAAGUAUUCCACCUGGGGAGUACGCCGGCAACGGUGAAACUCAAAGGAAUUGACGGGGGCCCGCACAAGCGGAGGAACAUGUGGUUUAAUUCGAUGAUACGCGAGGAACCUUACCCGGGCUUAAAUUGCAGAUGAAUUACGGUGAAAGCCGUAAGCCGCAAGGCAUCUGUGAAGGUGCUGCAUGGUUGUCGUCAGCUCGUGCCGUGAGGUGUCGGCUUAAGUGCCAUAACGAGCGCAACCCUUGUUGUCAGUUACUAACAGGUUCCGCUGAGGACUCUGACAAGACUGCCAUCGUAAGAUGUGAGGAAGGUGGGGAUGACGUCAAAUCAGCACGGCCCUUACGUCCGGGGCUACACACGUGUUACAAUGGGGGGUACAGAGGGCCGCUACCACGCGAGUGGAUGCCAAUCCCCAAAACCUCUCUCAGUUCGGACUGGAGUCUGCAACCCGACUCCACGAAGCUGGAUUCGCUAGUAAUCGCGCAUCAGCCACGGCGCGGUGAAUACGUUCCCGGGCCUUGUACACACCGCCCGUCAAGCCAUGGGAGCCGGGGGUACCUGAAGUGCGUAACCGCGAGGAGCGCCCUAGGGUAAAACUG
rnacentral:rRNA from 1 species